AAGGCAUUGCGCCAGGAGUAUAUAUAAUAGAGAGAGUUUAAUAUGCAGAACCAAGAUUUCUGCUGUAAAAGAAGAUUUAGUUUCAUAUACAAAGACGGUGUGAUGAAGAACUGUUCCAUUUUAAUUCUCUUCCACCUUUUCUAUUUCUAUUCAUAUUUCCUUUUUUGGUAAAUUUUAAUUAAACGAAUAAAUCGUCCAUUCCCUUACCUCUUCCUUUCUUUCGUCUUCAUCGUGUAAGGAAGAAAAUGCACGCUUCGUGUGCGUGCCUCCACUGUACCUCCAUCGUUCUUGUAUGAAGUUCAAGGUUUCACAGAAGUUCAUGGAUCAUCUACCUUGUCUUCAUCACAAAGUUCUUGCAACCACAACUGAUGAUGCCUUUAGAUUUUCUACAGAAGAAGAAAUAGACCAUGGUGCUAGAGAUUCUAGGUGGCAUUGUCAAAGGACUUAAAGCAGGAAAACCCUCUCAAACAAAUGUGACUAAAGUCCAGCCUCCAAUUUUGGAAUUUGAAAAGCAUUUUCUUUUGGAUUAUGAUACAACACGGGCUUUAAUGAUGAAGAGGCCCACUAGAGUGCACAAGAAACCUAAUUGGCUGAAGGAUUUUGUUUUAAAAAAAAAACAAAUGUUUUUUUUCAGUAGUUUAAAUAUGCUUGUUUUAUGAAAGAGGCUUUUAAGUCCAAUAUGCAUUUUCUUUCCUCUGUAAGCUACUGGACCACAAGUUCCCUAUUUAAGGGAUUGGAACGUAAUGGAAUGGCAGAGAGAUAAAUUUUUUUUAACCUAGUUUUCUUUUCCUUCCCUUACCUAUCUUAGCAAAACUGUAGCAGGUACCUAACAGAUUCUGUAUUUUGGCACAAAUUAUAUUGAAAUAGAUGAGCCCAAGCCGUAAAUAACUAAGAGUUAUACUUCACCUCUUGAUGUUAAAAACAAACAAAAAGGUAAAUCACUUUCAAAACAUUUAUUACAUUUUGACUAUAAAGACUAGUAGCAGUUUCUUCCUUCUGCCGUAGAUAAGUUAUGAGAUAGGGAGAAAUUAUUUGAAGGUUGCACCAAUAAGGAUGAUGUUAAGCCAAUACUUAGAACAUUUGAAGAAAAUAUUCCUACUUAUAGAAAAACUGGGGAUGCUUCUUCAGCUACUGCCCUAUCAAUGAGUUAAACCAAUGAGUUAAAUAUAUUGGAGUGCAAGAGCAAGAAGAGAGAGAGAGAAUGGGAAUGGAAAUCGUGGAGUUGAAGAGAAUUACAGAUCAUAAUAAAAAUUGUUGCUGGAGAUGGUGUUUUGGUUGGAAAGUUGGGCUGACCUGACGAUCCAGACGGAUUAGACUGACCUAACAACACAAACAAGUUGAGCAGCCCGAUGACCCAGACGGAUUGAGUGGGCCCAACGACCCAAAUAGGUCGAGCAGGCCCGAUAACCCAAACGGGUUAGGCGGGCCUGACGACUUAAACGGACGAGGGUGACUUGAUGACACAUAUGGGUCGGGCGGGCUUGACAACUCAAACAGGUUGAUCAAGUCCGACAACCCACACCGCCCCAGGUAGGCCUGACGACCAAGAUGUGUCGUGUUGGCCCUGCGACAUAAACGGGUCGGAUGGGCCUGACGACCCAACUAGGACUAACGACCCAAACGAGUCAGGUGGGCUUGAAUACAUAGACGAGCUGAAUCGACCUGACAACCAAGACAGGUUAGCGAGUCUGAUGGCCCAAGUAGGACAGGCGAGCUCAACGACCCACACAGAUUUGGUGGACCAGAGGACCUAGAGGUGUCAGGCAAGCCUGACGACUCAUACAUGUCGGGCAAGCCCAACGACCCAACCGACCUGUUGACCCGACAAGCAUUGCUGGGAUCAAAGAUGUACAUCUAGUGACAGACCUAAGUGUAUAUAAGUACAUUUUGAACAUCUCACAUGAAUAAUUGAAAACUACUAUGUAUUGUGUCUUGUAUGAAAGGCCAAUUAUAGAAACACUCUCCUUUUAAAUGCCAAGUUUCCAAAUUAUAGUUUUGUAUUA